UGGGAGCCGCGGCGCGCGGGGGCCGAUGGGAAGUGUAGUCCCGCGCCGCGGGGGGGUGGUGCCGCGCUGCUGAGGGGAGGGCCGUCCCGCGUCAGGCGGUCGGCGGGCGCUGCUACAGUGACUGGCUGUACUGAGUCUGUGUGCCGUUCAUAAAUAGCAAUUCAGUGCUUCAUAGCAAAGCGUGGAAAUGAUACUGAGGCAUUAAUGUUUCCAAUACAUUUUUAUUAUGUUGAGAAGCUGAUGUUGCAGCUCUCCUGAUGUCACAGGGGCGUGAUCACGAACCCGUGUCACAAGGGAGGCUGAGCGUAGGGCUCUGCCGGGUAUCCUUAGGAUGCACUGCUUGUGUUCUGUUUACACGGAUUGGUUCUGUUUGUACCAAUCAUCUCACAGAAUGUGAAGUAAAUACGAUUUUCAUGUUCUCGUGAAGUGGUGGAGUCACCGUCCCUGGAGGUGUACAAAGACCUUACGGACGUGGCACUGAGGGCCAUGGUCAGUGGGCAUGGUGGGUGUGGCUUGGGGUUGGCUAGGUGAUCUUAGGGGUCUUUUCCAACCUUAAUAAUUCUAUGAUUGUUACUUCUGCUUGCUCUGUGGCUAUGGCUGUUCUUAGCAUCCCCAGUCCUUUCUGUCAGGAAGCCUCAGCAAGAAGUCACCAGUGGUUUUGGAUGCCUGACCAAUGUAUUUUUUUAAUCAAAGGCAACAUAUAUGAAGAAAAAGCAAAUAGGAAAAUUAAGCCUUACGCAGUCUGCAAACUGAUCUGUCCUAACUCUGUUUUCGUGAGCAGCCUGUAUAGGUGUGUCACAGAAUCACAGAGUCACCAAGGUUGGAAAAGACCUCUAAGGUCAUCCAGUCCAACCAUCCACCUAUCACCAAUAUUUCCCACUCAAACAUAUCCCUCAUCUAAACAUUUCUUAAACACCUCCAGGGACCAUGACUUCACCACCUCCCUGGGCAGCCCAUACCAGCAUGUGACCACUCUCUCUCCAUUCCCCAAAAUAGUGAUCAACAAUUGCUCUCUCUCUGUUUUUUCUUUAUAAAGGGAAUGUCCCACAUAUCCUGCCAACAGGAGACUUUUCUUAUUGCUCUUAUCUGUUGGUUAUAUUUACUGGCUCGAGUUCGACUAGAUGAAUAAAUUUACAUAGCAGACUGUUUAUUAGUAGAUUACUCCAGGACUCUCACAAAAACAAUAAGAAGAAGAAAAAAAAAGGAACAACAACAAAAAAAAGAAGCUGUCUGAACAUAUUCCAUAUAGUCAAACUUCCAAUACACAAAGUACAGCAAAGGAAUCUUAUUAACAUGAUAAUAAUAAUGGCAUUGUUAUCAUUCAAUUAUUUAAUUACUAAGCAGACUGACAUUGUUCUUACAUGUUUGAUAAACAGGUUUUCGCAGUCAGCAUGAUUAACACUCUACUUUGAACACUGACAGGCUGUGAAAACAACCUAGCAAGUUACACUUAUCAUUUGAAAGCUGAAAAGCUGAUACGGCAUUAUGUUAGUACCAAAUACUUCAAUCGCUGUUUUCUUAAGCAGGAAGCUUCAAUUAUUAAAAAAAAAAAAAAAAAAAAAAAAAAAGUAUUUAAAGUUUGAUUCAUCACACAAUUAAAUAACAGCUGAUGAGACAUUUCCAAAUAAAAUUAUUGCACUAACCAUGUAGAAACUAGACUAGAUCACAAAAUAAUUAAGAUUUGGUGCCUUCAAAAAGGAAUGAAGAACAUCUUUCAACAUCUUUCAGUAUCCUUUUUACUUAUGAUCCUGAUUUAUUGUAAUGCCAUUUAGCAAUUAAGAACCCUCAAAAUGCUUCUGUUAAAAGAAGUCAGUCCAGUCAGCCAGGUGCCUCCUCCCAUAACACUGACAAUGAACUUAGCAUAUCAUCAAUGUUAUUCUUCCUGGUUGUACUCUCCAAGUACUGCAGUCAAAAAGACAAGAAGAUGCUGUGUAAAACCAUGCUUUCCUUAAGACCGUACAUGUUUGUAGGAGGCCGAUCAUAGCUGCUGUUGUUGAUAUCUAGACCAUCAAGCAAAGAAUUAAUCAUCAAAAGCUUAUCCUCAGGGAGCCCUCUGGGAGAUGGCAGUUUGGACACUUCAGCAGUGACGCAGCAGCUGAGGGAAGGAGAAGCAACGGGUUAAGCAGCAUCAGCAGAAAGUGGCUGUAAUUGAAGAGGAUAUUUGAAGAAAGAAAAUGCAGUCUUUUCCACUUUCAUGACCCAAUUUUUUUACUCAUGGUAAAGGCUUCUUUCUCCUCAUUUUGGUAUUAGCUAUGUUUGGGAAGUAUUGAGCUUUAUCUUUGCUCGUGGAUAAUAACAUUUAAAAAUAUGUAUUAUUUACUUAAUUGUUGCUGCUAAAUGCUGUGAUUCUUCUUAUUCUUUCCUUCCAUUACUUUUUAGUAGCAUAAACUGCUCCAUCUCUUGUUUGAUUCUAUGGGGAACACUCCCACACACCUCUGCUGCAUUUUUAUAGAUUUCUUGUCAGUGCUGUUAAAUUGCAUCAGAGUAGAGAAGGAAGGCUAUGGGCCCAACUGAUGGUCUCCCUCCUAAAUUUCAUUACAGAUGGCUAGAAUCAAAAUUUACUGAAGUCAUGGAGAAUUUUUGUAUUAACUUUGGAUCAAGCUAUAAAUUUUUAUUAAAAAAAACAACAACAA